rnacentral:rRNA from 1 species
GCUGAUGCGUUGUUGGGUAGGGGAGCGUUCUGUAAGCCUGCGAAGGUGGCCUGUGAGGGUUGCUGGAGGUAUCAGAAGUGCGAAUGCUGACAUAAGUAACGAUAAAGCGGGUGAAAAGCCCGCUCGCCGGAAGACCAAGGGUUCCUGUCCAACGUUAAUCGGGGCAGGGUGAGUCGACCCCUAAGGCGAGGCCGAAAGGCGUAGUCGAUGGGAAACGGGUUAAUAUUCCCGUACUUGGUGUUACUGCGAAGGGGGGACGGAGAAGGCUAUGUUGGCCGGGCGACGGUUGUCCCGGUUUAAGCGUGUAGGUGUGUGUUCCAGGUAAAUCCGGUUCACUUUAACACUGAGGCGUGACGACGAGGCACUACGGUGCUGAAGCAACAAAUGCCCUGCUUCCAGGAAAAGCCUCUAAGCAUCAGGUAACAUCAAAUCGUACCCCAAACCGACACAGGUGGUCAGGUAGAGAAUACCAAGGCGCUUGAGAGAACUCGGGUGAAGGAACUAGGCAAAAUGGUGCCGUAACUUCGGGAGAAGGCACGCUGACACGUAGGUGAAGUGAUUUACUCAUGGAGCUGAAGUCAGUCGAAGAUACCAGCUGGCUGCAACUGUUUAUUAAAAACACAGCACUGUGCAAACACGAAAGUGGACGUAUACGGUGUGACGCCUGCCCGGUGCCGGAAGGUUAAUUGAUGGGGUCAGCGCAAGCGAAGCUCCUGAUCGAAGCCCCGGUAAACGGCGGCCGUAACUAUAACGGUCCUAAGGUAGCGAAAUUCCUUGUCGGGUAAGUUCCGACCUGCACGAAUGGCGUAAUGAUGGCCAGGCUGUCUCCACCCGAGACUCAGUGAAAUUGAACUCGCUGUGAAGAUGCAGUGUACCCGCGGCAAGACGGAAAGACCCCGUGAACCUUUACUAUAGCUUGACACUGAACAUUGAGCCUUGAUGUGUAGGAUAGGUGGGAGGCUUUGAAGUGUGGACGCCAGUCUGCAUGGAGCCGACCUUGAAAUACCACCCUUUAAUGUUUGAUGUUCUAACGUGGACCCGUGAUCCGGGUUGCGGACAGUGUCUGGUGGGUAGUUUGACUGGGGCGGUCUCCUCCUAAAGAGUAACGGAGGAGCACGAAGGUUGGCUAAUCCUGGUCGGACAUCAGGAGGUUAGUGCAAUGGCAUAAGCCAGCUUGACUGCGAGCGUGACGGCGCGAGCAGGUGCGAAAGCAGGUCAUAGUGAUCCGGUGGUUCUGAAUGGAAGGGCCAUCGCUCAACGGAUAAAAGGUACUCCGGGGAUAACAGGCUGAUACCGCCCAAGAGUUCAUAUCGACGGCGGUGUUUGGCACCUCGAUGUCGGCUCAUCACAUCCUGGGGCUGAAGUAGGUCCCAAGGGUAUGGCUGUUCGCCAUUUAAAGUGGUACGCGAGCUGGGUUUAGAACGUCGUGAGACAGUUCGGUCCCUAUCUGCCGUGGGCGCUGGAGAACUGAGGGGGGCUGCUCCUAGUACGAGAGGACCGGAGUGGACGCAUCACUGGUGUUCGGGUUGUCAUGCCAAUGGCACUGCCCGGUAGCUAAAUGCGGAAGAGAUAAGUGCUGAAAGCAUCUAAGCACGAAACUUGCCCCGA